AUUGAACGCUGGCGGCAUGCCUUACACAUGCAAGUCGAACGGCAGCACGGGUGCUUGCACCUGGUGGCGAGUGGCGAACGGGUGAGUAAUACAUCGGAACGUACCUUAUCGUGGGGGAUAACGCAGCGAAAGCUGUGCUAAUACCGCAUACGCCCUGAGGGGGAAAGCGGGGGAUCGAAAGACCUCGCGCGAUUAGAGCGGCCGAUGCCUGAUUAGCUUGUUGGUGGGGUAAAAGCCCACCAAGGCGACGAUCAGUAGCUGGUCUGAGAGGACGAUCAGCCACACUGGGACUGAGCCACGGCCCAGACUCCUACGGGAGGCAGCAGUGGGGAAUGCUGGACAAUGGGGGCAACCCUGAUCCAGCAAUGCCGCGUGAGUGAAGAGGGCCUUCGGGUUGUAAAGCUCUUUUGUCAGGGAAGAAACACCGGCUCUAACACAGUCUGGGAAUGACGGUACCGUAAGAAUAAGCACCGGCUAACUACGUGCCAGCCGCCGCAGUAA
rnacentral:rRNA from 1 species